CUGAAAUGCUGAGAGGACAUAGAGCUGUCUAAAUGUGCAUAACGCAAACCACAUCUUGGAUAACAUUUUACCCACAGGACCCAGAUGCAGCUGAAAUUAGUGAAGGAGCGGCGCGUGAUGACUGGAUGAACAUCGUCCUGCUCCUGAACACAACAACCCUUCAACAAUUACCAUGGUAACCACAGUUCCUCCCUAAAUACCACAGCCCCCUACAGGGUCUGUGAGUUUUGCUAUAGCCUACCCCAAAGGUGCAGGUGAGCCCAGACUGAUCUAAGAUCAGAGACGCAGCCACAGGUGAGCCCUCUAACAUGAUUCCAUGUCCUCAGGCUAUGAAGUCUGAGCCGAGCUUUGGAGGGGCAAGAGGUGUAAAGGGAUAAAUGGAAACCGAAUUCAACAGGCUGCUGCCAAGCGUGGUGUCAUCAGCCAAUGCCACACAGGCACCUUUUUCUCCCUGACAGAAGCUGUUCAAGGCAUUUUUUCACCUUCUUAUCUUCUUUUUUAAUCCUUCAAGGACAGGAAGAGCUCUAAUGGGAGAAUAAAGCAUGUGACAUCUACACAUUUUUAUUUAAAAAAAAUGAACAUCACUGCUUGAGACUUUUGAAAGAACCCUUUUUUUUGUGGGAUUUAGCCAUCACUCUCGGUUCUGAGAGAACAACUCGUGUUAUUGACACCACAAGCACCUUUCUAACCCUUCAACACACUCAUUUGGAUGUGUGAGACCAAUCACUAUCAUUCUGCCUGAAUCCUUUAAUAUCAUUUCCGGACUUUCAUCAAGUUUUUGGCUGGUACAUUUGGUUUAGGGAAUCAGAUGGUAUUUGUUACACAAAGAGAGUUGCUCGCACAACCGGAGCUGUUAAUUAUGAUUGGUUUGUUAUUGCUCACCAGAGCAUAACAAAUCGCCAUUAUGUUGUUUUGCUGAGUCUAAUUUAAUUGUAACAAAAGUAAUUAUCCCUCAUUUAUAUUGAUGCCAUAAGCAGAAGUAAGAGAGCACCUGCUGCCAUAAGCCUGUUGUAUACUAAAAAUAAACCUGGUG
ensembl:lncRNA